UGGGGCGUCGUCUAAAGGCAGGACGCGGGACUUUGAAUCCCGCUAUGAUGGUUCGAAUCCAUCCGCCCCAA
rnacentral:tRNA from 1 species